AAAGGAAUUGACGGGGGCCCGCACAAGCAGUGGAGUAUGUGGUUUAAUUCGAAGCAACGCGAAGAACCUUACCAGGUCUUGACAUCUCCUGAAUAGCUAAGAGAUUAGCGAAGCCCUUCGGGGCAGGAAGACAGGUGGUGCAUGGUUGUCGUCAGCUCGUGUCGUGAGAUGUUGGGUUAAGUCCCGCAACGAGCGCAACCCUUGCUAUUAGUUGCUACAUUUAGUUGAGCACUCUAAUGGGACUGCCGUUGACAAAACGGAGGAAGGUGGGGAUGACGUCAAAUCAUCAUGCCCCUUAUGACCUGGGCUACACACGUACUACAAUGGCUACUAACAACGGGAAGCGAAGCCGCGAGGUGGAGCGAAUCCCCAAAAGUAGUCUCAGUUCGGAUUGUAGGCUGAAACUCGCCUAUAUGAAGUCGGAAUUGCUAGUAAUCGCAGAUCAGCAUGCUGCGGUGAAUACGUUCCCGGGCCUUGUACACACCGCCCGU
rnacentral:rRNA from 1 species